AUGGAGGUUCUGGAGCGGGUUUCUUCUAUCCUCAAGGAGUAUGGGUUUUGCCCGACUGGAGAAAUCGUUGAUGUUAAGAACCUCUGCCCUUACAACUGCGUAAUGUCUGAUGAAGAGUUAUACCACCAAGGGCUUAUGAAUUCAACCAAGGGUGGUGCAGCGGAAGAAGUACAUGUACUGGAGCAUUCUAUCUUCACUUGUUCUUUUGGCAAAUGCCUUGUGAGCAUUGAUUGUUAUUUUUUAUCUCUAAGUUGGAUAAAAACACUCUCAGUUAACUAUCGGUACAUGAUGUUACAAUAG
rnacentral:rRNA from 1 species